rnacentral:lncRNA from 1 species
AUACAAACCCUUUUUAAAACAAAAAUCACUCAAAAAUAUGUUUGUUAAGGUUUCAAAUAUUUCAUGUAGCUUUUGUAAUAAAAGUGGACAUAUUGCUUUUAAUUGUAUAGCUAAAAAGAAAUUGUUCUUUGAGAACAAAUACAAGUGGAUACAAGAAUCCACAAAAACUAACUAUCAAGGACCCAAAUUUGUGUGGGUACCAAAAGUCAAAACUUAAUUUGUCUUUAUAGGUACUAAAGAAAAUAAAAAGUAAAUGGUUCUUGGAUAGUGGAUGCUCGAAGCAUAUGA